GCGGUAAUUCCAGCUCCAAUAGCGUAUAUUGAAGUUGCUGCAGUUAGAGAGCUCGUAGUUGGAUUUGUGGAGCGGCCAUCCGUCGCGGCGCCAGCUCUUCGUAGCAGGUGGUGUUCGCUAGUCCCGGCUUCGCGGCUGCUCCUUUCUCGGGAAGCGAGUGGCUGGCAUUAGGUUGUCGGCCGCUUCGCGCCCGUCUCUUACUGUGAAAAAAGUGGAGUGUUCAAAGCAGGCUCAGGCCGUUGGAUACAUUAGCAUGGAAUAAUGAGAUAAGGCCGCGGUGGUGAUCUUUUCUGUUGGUUUGCCCACACGGCGCAAUGAUUAAAGAGAACGGUUGGGGGUAUUCGUAUUCAACUGUCAGAGGUGAAAUUCUCGGAUU
rnacentral:rRNA from 1 species